GUAGGGAAUAUUGCGCAAUGGACGAAAGUCUGACGCAGCGACGCCGCGUGAGUGAUGAAGGCCUUAGGGUCGUAAAGCUCUGUUGAAUGGGAAGAAAAAAAUGACGGUACCAUUCGAGGAAGGACCGGCUAACUUCGUGCCAGCAGCCGCGGUAAUACGAGGGGUCCUAGCGUUGUUCGGAAUCAUUGGGCGUAAAGGGUGUGUAGGUGGCCAUGUAAGUCAGGUGUGAAAGCCCCGGGCUCAACCCGGGAAGUGGACUUGAUACUGCGUGGCUUGAGUACCGAAGAGGGUAGUGGAAUUCCAGGUGUAGUGGUGAAAUACGUAGAUAUCUGGAGGAACACCGGUGGCGAAGGCGGCUACCUGGUCGAGUACUGACACUGAGACACGAAAGCAUGGGGAUCAAACAGGAUUAGAUACCCUGGUAGUCC
rnacentral:rRNA from 1 species